GUCUAUGGCCAUGCUUCCCUGAACAAGUCCAAUCCUGUCUGAUCUCGGAAGCUAAGCAGUGUCAGGCAUGUUUAGUACUUGGAUGGGAGACCACCGAGGAAGAUCAGGUGCUGUAGGCA
ensembl:rRNA 5S_rRNA 5S ribosomal RNA